rnacentral:misc_RNA from 1 species
AAGGAGUCUAACAUGUCUGCGAGUCUUUGGGUGGCAAACCCAUGGGCGCAAUGAAAGUGAAUGCAGGUGGGAUCCCGCAAGGGUGCACCAUCGACCGAUCCAGAUCUUCUGUGACGGAUUUGAGUAAGAGCAUAUGUGUUGGGACCCGAAAGAUGGUGAACUAUGCCUGAAUAGGGCGAAGCCAGAGGAAACUCUGGUGGAGGCUCGUAGCGGUUCUGAUGUGCAAAUCGAUCGUCAAAUUUGGGUAUAGGGGCGAAAGACUAAUCAAACCAUCUAGUAGCUGGUUCCUGC